rnacentral:misc_RNA from 1 species
AUCUAAUUAAAAAGAUUAUAUUUAAAUUGGAAGUUUAAAAAAUAAAUUAAAAAAAGGGAUUUUUUUAACAGAAAAUAGCAUUUCACUUAUUAAAGCAUGGUUACAUUGUUCAAAGUCCAUCUACAACAGAGAUCCCAAGUAAACAACAGCCCAACAAAAGAAAGGAGCCAAGGUCCUCAGAAAACAGUAAAACAGACGGUGAAUGGAUGCUUGACCCAACACCAAUGACCCCACAAAAGAGAAGCAGAAAACAAGCGCCGCCUGCAGCACUGAGAGACCUAACUACACUAGAAAUAGUGCUCAGAGUAUGCAGAAAAUGAGCAAAACCAACUCAACUCCCCAGAUAAAAGCGCGCGAGGAUCAAUCUACUGUAGAGGAAGAAACAAAUAACCAUGGAUAUGCCGAAUGAUUGAGAAUAACAUGAUGGAGACUCUGGUGUCUCAUUCUUGUAUAACUCAAGGACCAAUGAUUAUCAUUUUAUUUGGAGCCAUCGCCUCCUUUGAAUUGCCAGCUAACUGGGAAAUUUGCAUACGUUGAAAUUCGGUCAAACACCGAAUUUCAAUGGGAAUAAGAAAAUUGGAUUUCGUUGCUUCACUG